rnacentral:rRNA from 1 species
AUGGAUAUGGAACACGAAAUACCAAAAAAAUUAGGUGUACUUACUACUCAUGGAGAUAAGGAAUCUCCUAAAACCCUCGAUGCUGGUUAUGUGAAAGAUAUUAUGUACUACUUUAAUAAUCACGAGAAAACCCCAUUCAAUUAUGUAAUGGGAGUAAUGUUGGAUCAACGCGAAUACUUUAGGGAUUAUCGCUUGACACAAAAAGGGAAACUAUUAUGGGAUCAAAUUCAUAUAUUGAAUUGGUAUGCUAGGCAACUAUGCUUGAGAUGUGAUUAUACUUGUUGCUCUAGGAUGAAGGCUCCACACCUUCCCUUUUUAUGUGAAUUUAAUGAUAAUAAAAUCUUAGCUUCUUAUGCUAAUGGUAUAUAUGAUUACUAUGAUGUGGAACAAAUAGAAGAAUUUGUUGCUUUUAUGGGUGCUUAUGAAAUUGAAUCUAUGUUUAAAGAGUUUGAAGAUUUGAUGAUUCAGUUUAUAGACCUAAAAAUUUAG